CCUGUAGCAGCUUUGACAAUGU
rnacentral:miRNA from 1 species